AACGAACGCUGGCGGCGCGCCUAAUACAUGCAAGUCGAGCGAGAAGACGUAGCAAUACGUUUGUAAAGCGGCGAACGGGUGAGGAAUACAUGGGUAACCUACCCUCGAGUGGGGAAGUAACUAGCCGAAGGUUAGCUAUACCGCGUACGCUCCUUGGACGUUCGGUUUCGAGGGAGGGAAAGACGAUACCGUGGGUAGUCGCGCUCUUGG
rnacentral:rRNA from 1 species